rnacentral:rRNA from 1 species
GACAUAGGUGGCGAACGUUAUCCGGAAUUACUGGGCGUAAAGCGUGCGCAGGCGGCGCGUUAAGACAGGUGUGAAAGCCCCGAGCUUAACUUGGGAAUUGCGCUUGUGACUGGCGUGCUGGAGUGUGGCAGAGGGAGGUGGAAUUCCACGUGUAGCAGUGAAAUGCGUAGAGAUGUGGAGGAACACCGAUGGCGAAGGCAGCCUCCUGGGCCAGCACUGACGCUCAUGCACGAAAGCGUGGGGAGCAAACAGG